GACGAACGCUGGCGGCGUGCCUAAUACAUGCCAGUCGAACGCAUUUUCUUUCACCGUAGCUUGCUACACCGAAAGAAAAUGAGUGGCGAACGGGUGAGUAACACGUGGGUAACCUGCCCAUCAGCGGGGGAUAACACUUGGAAACAGGUGCUAAUACCGCAUAAUUCCAUUUACUGCAUGGUAGAUGGAUGAAAGGCGCUUUUGCGUCACUGAUGGAUGGACCCGCGGUGCAUUAGCUAGUUGGUGGGGUAACGGCCUACCAAGGCUGCGAUGCAUAGCCGACCUGAGAGGGUGAUCGGCCACACUGGGACUGAGACACGGCCCAGACUCCUACGGGAGGCAGCAGUAGGGAAUCUUCGGCAAUGGACGCAAGUCUGACCGAGCAACGCCGCAUGAGUGAAGAAGGUUUUCGGAUCGUAAAACUCUGUUGUUAGAAAAGAACAAGGAUGAGAGUGGAAAGUUCAUCCCUUGACGGUAUCUAACCAGAAAGCCACGGCUAACUACGUG
rnacentral:rRNA from 1 species